CAGGAUGACAGUCUCCUCUGCUGAAGUCCAGGCUUCAUGGGAGACUGCCAAGGCUGUUUAUGUGGCAGCAGCACCAGCUCCUGUGAUGCAGAGCAUGUGCAACACAGGUGCAGCCUUCGGUGGUGCAGCUGCAAUACCUGCAACCUUAGAUGGAGCAGCUGGUACAGUCGGACCUGCAUCCGCUGAGGCAGCUGCUAAAGAACCCACUGAGGUGGAGCCAUAUCAGCUCCUAAACUUUCUAGAAUGUGAAAUGAUGCAUUUCUACGACGGUUGAUGUCAAGGUGACGUGGAAAGCCUGGGGUGACAACAUAGUGAACCAGGACAUAAGGUCAAGCGUUGCUGUGAAGAACCUGGCCAUUGCUCUGUGGGGGUCCAGUGUCCUGCAGAGGACUGUGGCCGAAAUGGCGUCGAAUGUCAGUCUUAACAAGGACAGCAGGCUGCCUCUGACACCCAAGAAAGCGGCAUUCCUGAGAGGCGAGUGCAAAUUAUCUCACGUAAGCGUAACCUAAGCAGUUAUUUGAAAAAUCUUCUCAAUCAAGGCAGUAUCUUGGCAGCUAGUUGGUAUUAUACUGGGAGUUCACAAUGUUUCGGUGAUCUUUGGAUGGACCGCAUAAAACUGAUAGGAUUGAGCACACAGCUGUGACAUAAUGGUGGAAGCUUUCAGUAAAA
rnacentral:lncRNA from 1 species